GACGAACGCUGGCGGCGUGCUUAACACAUGCAAGUCGAACGGAAAGGCCCUGCUUUUGUGGGGUGCUCGAGUGGCGAACGGGUGAGUAACACGUGAGUAACCUGCCCUUGACUUUGGGAUAACUUCAGGAAACUGGGGCUAAUAACGGAUAGGAGCUCCUGCUGCAUGGUGGGGGUGGGAAAGGUUCGGCGGUUGGGGAUGGACUCGCGGCUUAUCAGCUUGUUGGUGGGGUAGUGGCUUACCAAGGCAUUGACGGGUAGCCGGCCUGAGAGGGUGACCGGCCACAUUGGGACUGAGAUACGGCCCAGACUCCUACGGGAGGCAGCAGUGGGGAAGAUUGCACAAUGGGAGGAAGCCUGAUGCAGCAACGCCGCGUGCGGGAUGACGGCCUUCGGGUUGUAAACCGCUUUCGCCUGUGACGAAGCGUGAGUGACGGUAAUGGGUAAAGAAGCACCGGCUAACUACGUG
rnacentral:rRNA from 1 species